AUCAGAACAGUCCAGACUCCCUGACUCUGCCACAGAAGAGGCAAGAUGACAAUGUGACUUAUCUCAUGAAUGGAAGAUCACAGCCAAGCUUGGCUGUAAAACACUGGAAGGACUUUGGCUGCAUCUGUUUAUGUCACUCAGAUCCUGUAAUCUCAAGGCUCACAAGCAUCAGACCAAGCCAUCAUUCAGCAAGAGUUAAUGUCAAGAGUGAGACUGAGGGUACGUCUACACUACCCACCGGAUCGGCAGAUAGUGAUCGAUCUAUUGGGGAUUGAUUUAUCGGGUCUAGUAUAGAUGUGAUAAAAUAGAUCACCGAUCCCUUUGCCGUCGACUCCGGAACUCCACCACCACGAAAGGCGUAAGCAGAGUCGACGGGGGAGCAGCAGCAGUCGACUUGCCGCCGUCCUCAUGGCCAGGCAUGCACACCCAGCCCCACGACUGUGAUCAAUGUCUCUCCUGCAGGCAGGCACGCACGCCCAGCCCCUCUCCCACUGCAGUGAUUUGCAUCUCUGAGACUGCUCCAGGCACGCUGGAAC